UCCCUGGUGGUCCAGUGGUUAAGAAUCUGCCUUGCAAUGCAGGGAACUCAGGUUUGACCCCUGGUCAGGGAA
rnacentral:tRNA from 1 species